rnacentral:rRNA from 1 species
CCCAGACUCCUACGGGAGGCAGCAGUGGGGGAUAUUGCACAAUGGGGGGAACCCUGAUGCAGCGACGCCGCGUGGGUGAAGGAGCGUUUCGGCGCGUAAAGCCCUAUCGGCAGGGAAGAAGGAGGACGGUACCUGACUAAGAAGCCCCGGCUAACUACGUGCCAGCAGCCGCGGUAAUACGUAGGGGGCAAGCGUUAUCCGGAUUUACUGGGUGUAAAGGGGGCGCAGACGGCAGCGCAAGCCAGGAGUGAAAGCCCGGGGCCCAACCCCGGGACUGCUCUUGGAACUGCGCGGCUGGAGUGCAGGAGGGGCAGGCGGAAUUCCUGGGGUAGCGGUGAAAUGCGUAGAUAUCAGGAGGAACACCAGUGGCGAAGGCGGCCUGCUGGGCUUUUACUGACGCUGAGGCUCGAAAGUGUGGGGAGCAAACAGGAUUAGAUACCCGCGUAU